UUGCCAGUGAGUAAUAAAAUUCAAAGUUAAGUGAAGCCAUGCCAUCUUCUGCCUUAGGUUAUUGUAGGGUCAGCCUUUAGAUGCGUGGAUGUUUUGAAUUUCCAAAUAAAUAAGGUUAUGAUUGAAUCUAACUUCUUAAAAAAUUAUUUAUUAAUGUAUAUUGGAAUGCUUUAAAAUAGAAAAAGAAGCUUAGGAAAGAUAUGUUUAGGGAGUGAGAAGGCUGAGUUUUUUUUAAUAUGCUGUUUUUCUUUUGUGUUUUCAGGAGCACUUUUGUGAGGAAGAAAGUAGCAUGGCGCUUAAAAGAAACUCUGCACAAAAUAUUCUGCAGGAGCAGUGGGGUCUGUAUCGAAGGAGUGACACUUCAUAGGAGUGACAUAGCAAAGGAUUGAUAUAAAUACUGUAUUAAAGGAGUGACAUUUUAUUGGAGUGACAUAAUGAGUCGCCUACCACACACAACUGAAAGUACGCUUGCCAAAAAAAUCGUUGUCGCUUCACCUACCACACACAACUGAAAGUACGCUCGCCAAAAAACUUGUUGUCGCCUCACCUACCACUUGGAUGGUUGGUUGGAUGGUGUCACUUCUUUGAAAUUUAUAUCUGAGGUUUCACUCCUUUGUUAUGUCACUCCUACGACAUGUCACUCCUUUCAAUAGGACCAGAGCAGCGACAGCCACAGAAAAGCCAGAGAUAGCUGAGAAAGUGGCCAGGCACUGAACGAGGAUCGGCUAGAAGGUGACAGCUGUAGAGACUAUGGCCUUAAUAAAACAUGCGACAGUCUUGGCCCAGGUCAUCUCAAAGAUGAGAUCAGCCUUCAAGUACAGGCAGCAUUUAAUCCUUGAUGCAGAGAAGUCGACUACAGCACUUGAAGUGUGUCCAUGAUUUCUGGAUGUGAAAGUUUAUCAAUCUAACACGUACCCUUUGAGACAUUUUACACUUUAAUAUUUGACCCCACUUUUUUGUACUUUACUGUAUAUAUCUUUAUGUUAAGGUUGUCACUAUGUAUAUUUAAUAUUUCUUAGUGUGAUGCAUGACUGAACAUAAUCUUGUCAUUGCCUUAAACCUACAGUCCAAACUUAUGUCUAGUACUUUUUUUUCCAAUACUGUGAGGUUCUUCAAGACUUUGAAUUGCUUUUUGGAAUGGAGACUUCAUCCAAGCUUCUGGAUAUGUGGGUCACAUUCUUCAAGACCAAAAUCAGAAAGCCAAGAACGUUACUCAGAUUUAUUGCUGAGCUCACUUAUCCAGUCUGCCAAGAAUAUUCAUGAUCCAAGCCUUGAAGAGCACAUCAAUCACACUGAGGAGCGACAGUCCUAUCUUCUGGCAGCAGGAACUGCAAAGAACAGCAUCCGUGACUUCUACAUUGUACUGGAUGGUCAGCUCUUUCCUUGUCAGACCACCAUUUAGAAGUGGAGGUGGCUGAAGAAAGAGAAAUGGAGAAGAAAAGAAUAAAGAAUGAAAGAAAGAAAGGAAGGAAGGAAAAGAGGCUGAACUUUAUUGUGAGGAAUAGUGCUGUUGUUGCUGAUUUGUGCACUGUACUGAAAGAAAGCAAAAGAAGAAAUUAAAAGCAUGGGCCUUUAGGACUUGUGUCUCUGUGUCUGUCUGUGUUGGGGCUGAUCUUCCAUAGUGUGUUGAGAGAUUUUGUUCCUUUUCAUGCUUUCUGAAAUCAUCUUUUAAAAAUUGCAUGUUUGUAGUGACCCACCACUUCUAAAUGAAAAUUCUUUUCCUCCGAUUUGCAGGCCAGAGCCCCCAGCUGAUAUUGCUCUGCCCGAGUGGCCUUUAGAUAGUCCUGUGACGAUGUGGGUUCUGGCUCCACGCUCCCUUUGAUGUUU